AACGAACGCUGGCGGCAUGCCUAACACAUGCAAGUCGAACGAGACCUUCGGGUCUAGUGGCGCACGGGUGCGUAACGCGUGGGAAUCUGCCCUUGGGUUCGGAAUAACAGCGAGAAAUUGCUGCUAAUACCGGAUGAUGACGUAAGUCCAAAGAUUUAUCGCCCAAGGAUGAGCCCGCGUAGGAUUAGCUAGUUGGUGAGGUAAAGGCUCACCAAGGCGACGAUCCUUAGCUGGUCUGAGAGGAUGAUCAGCCACACUGGGACUGAGACACGGCCCAGACUCCUACGGGAGGCAGCAGUGGGGAAUAUUGGACAAUGGGGCGAAAGCCUGAUCCAGCAAUGCCGCGUGAGUGAUGAAGGCCUUAGGGUUGUAAAGCUCUUUUACCCGGGACUGAUAAUGACAGUACCGGGAGAAUAAGCUCCGGCUAACUCCGUGCCAGCAGCCGCGGU
rnacentral:rRNA from 1 species